AUUGAACGCUGGCGGCAGGCCUAACACAUGCAAGUCGAGCGGAUGAAGGGAGCUUGCUCCUGGAUUCAGCGGCGGACGGGUGAGUAAUGCCUAGGAAUCUGCCUGUAGUGGGGGAUAACGGCCGGAAACGGGCGCUAAUACCGCAUACGUCCUGAGGGAGAAAGUGGGGGAUCUUCGGACCUCACGCUAUCAGAUGAGCCUAGGUCGGAUUAGCUAGUUGGUGGGGUAAAGGCCUACCAAGGCGACGAUCCGUAACUGGUCUGAGAGGAUGAUCAGUCACACUGGAACUGAGACACGGUCCAGACUCCUACGGGAGGCAGCAGUGGGGAAUAUUGGACAAUGGGCGAAAGCCUGAUCCAGCCAUGCCGCGUGUGUGAAGAAGGUCUUCGGAUUGUAAAGCACUUUAAGUUGGGAGGAAGGGCAGUAAGUUAAUACCUUGCUGUUUUGACGUUACCAACAGAAUAAGCACCGGCUAACUUCGUG
rnacentral:rRNA from 1 species